UACGGGGGGGGCAAGCGUUGUUCGGAAUUACUGGGCGUAAAGGGCUCGUAGGUGGCCAACUAAGUCAGACGUGAAAUCCCUGGGCUCAACCCAGGAACUGCGUCCGAUACUGGUUGGCUUGAAUCCGGGAGAGGGAUGCAGAAUUCCAGGUGUAGCGGUGAAAUGCGUAGAUAUCUGGAGGAAUACCGGUGGCGAAGGCGGCAUCCUGGACCGGCAUUGACGCUGAGUGAGCGAAAGCCAGGGGAGCAAACGGG
rnacentral:rRNA from 1 species